GGCAAGAAGGACCCCUGAGAGUCUGUGGAGAGGAAAAUUAGUGUGGACUUCCUUCUUGAAGAAAGACUUCUGUUGGGACUUUAAAAAACUGAUAGGCUUCCGAUAAGCAGAAAAGAGGUGAGCUUGGGACAGACGGCAAAAAUCAAGAACCAGAACUGAUGGACUGGGAGAAGGCCCAAUCUACCACCCUGUGCCAGAUGAUGAGUAUUUGUGCGGUCAGAAGAUAUUUGUCCUUUAACAAGUUUAAGUCUUAAGGACUUUUCUGGUCAACUUCUGGAAGAGUCCUGUCUCCCACCCUACCCCACCCCCACCUGCCCAUCCUCAAAGGGGAGAGAAUGCUAAGGUCCCCUUACCCUGGCUCGCCAGACACUGGCUUCCUGAGGUAAAGCAGGGAGAAAAUGAUCCCUUUUCUCCAGUUACAAAAGGAUGGGACCAGGCCCUCUAGGUUGUCAAGUAUAAAACAAAGCAAAACUGUAUUAGCUCCAGAGUCAACUUUUCUUUCUUUGGACCCAGCAAAGGAGAAGAAGAGAGCCACACAGCCACCCAAUCAGUAUGCAGCACGUUGGAAUUCCAAUGCUGAGGGGCCAAAGCACACCUAGGGUCAUUACUAGGCACGGACAUAAGAAGAGCUGCAAUCUGUUUAUUAAUUGUUUCUAACUGGGCUGUUGAAGAGGCGUUCCUGGACCACCUGCAUCAGAACCACUUGAGAAAGGUUUUUAAAAACACCUGCUGCUGAAUCAGAAUCGCUGGGAUGAGGCCAGGGAGCUGCAUUUUUCAUGACCACUCAAGAGUCUUCAAAACACGUAUGUUCCAAAACCCUAUUUAUACACCAAUACCAUUACAUUUUCAGUUAUGUAAAAUAACUGCUGCUGUAAUUUCUCUCUGAGGAAGACAUUUUUUAGGACGCGGUGUGAAACAAUGAGAGUACAUUUACCUAAUCCUCAAAAUAUCAGUUUAUAGUCUUUGAGGCAUGUGGGAAAUUUCAUCUUGAAACUUUUUUUUUUUUGAUGGAUUCUAAGUUUGUUUAGGGAGAAACUGACAGCACUGAAUUGAUCUAGAGCUAGCCAAUUCAGAAAACUUAAAUAUCAGAUUUAAUAGACUUGGUUAUCAGCUACCAACUGAAUCUUCAAGAAGGUCCCUAUAUAUAAACAAAGCGAAUCAUUGGCUAUUCAACUCCCUUGAUUCAACAGGACUUGAAGAGGACCAUUUGGAUUAACUGAUUAUACAGACACUACCAUAGACAUUACUGUAGCAAGAGGGGAGAAAACCAAAUAGAAAAUGAUGUAUCAGCAUUUCAUUUAAAUAUGAGCUCUUUCUUUGAUAUUUACAUUUAUGUUUUGCUUUUUUUUUUUUUUUCCUGGUCUUAAGAAUG